AAGCUGACAGCUGCAGCCUGCAACGUAUCAGGUGCCUUAUAUAGCAACUGUAAUGAAAACUCACAUGAGUGUAAGGUCAGUCUCUCCACAGUAUGUACUAAUUAAAUUUCCACUUUCCUUUAAAAAGCAGAUCACAUCUGGCCCAAAGACAGGAACCCAUUGUGCCAGACAUGUAAUGGAAUAGGUGUUGUUUUGUACUUCUCAUCUCUGAAAGAUAAUGACAUGGAAAAUUCAUUCUCUUCUACUCUUUAGUAAUCUUCCAUCUGCUAUUGUAGUUGUUUGUACAGCUGAAAACAAAAGCUAAUCACAAACCUCUACUUUAAAAGAGUUUUUUUGUGAGCUCCCAUGUCAACAUUAGUUUAUAUAGACGAGGUUGUUGAAGCAGAAGUGUUGCAAAGCAGUGUGGAAUAUGGUUCAAUGGUAUUUGCAAGAUUGGGUUAUUAAUAUUGCAGCAUCCAUGUAAACUAGUUGCUAGAAAUUAGAUUUAUUUUUUUUUAUAUAUAGAUAUUUUCAUAGCUUGUUGUCCACUUUAAUAUGUUUCAGGACCAAAGACAGUUAUUUCUUCCAAGCUGUUUGUCAGAAAGGCGAUUCCAAAUGAACUUCCAAGAAAUUGAAGUUGAUGAGCAGAUUCCAAGAUGAGCAGUAUUACCAUGGCCAUACAACAGGCACACCAUGACUGGAGGAGAUUGCUCUGCAAAGAACAGACUCUUUGGAGAAAUACCACAGAACCACUCAUGUUGAUGUGAAACACAUGUUUUGCAGAUGCAGAGGUCUCCCAGUGGAAGACUAAUGUUCACAAUUCAACAAGAUUGUUGAUCAUCAGUGAGAAGAGCCAGCAGAAUAUUUAAAGCUUUGAAAAAAAAAGUAUUGAAGAGGAAGAGCUCCAGGAGCUCCGUUUACUUAAUCUAUCCAAUGAAAGUUUUAGAGCAUGUGAGUAUCUCCUGGUUGAAGUAAUUGGGUUCUCUUGCCUGGCCACAUGUAUACAAAGAUCAGUCUGGAUAUUCAAUGACCAGAGCAGGAUUAUUUCUUGCAAGCCCUAUGCUACUCGAAUGCAGCAAAGCUUUUUUACCGCCAUGGAAGGAUCAGCUGUGGAAGCAGUACAAUAUCAUCCAGUGUAUCCUGACAAAAGGGGAAAGCUUGGCCAGUGUGACAGCUUAUUGAUCUUCAAUUACAAGAUACAAGUUACUGCUGGAGUGUUUACAGAAGGGUUGUAAGUUUCUAUCUAAACAGUGCAUUUAAACUGAUCUUCUACUAUAGAAUGUUCCCAUGUGCUAUUGGCAGUCAGCUGCUUCAAAUGCAUGUGCAUGGAGUGCAACCUGAAAUGCAGCAUGCUGUAGGAGAUGAUUAGAUAGUCUAAUGUAUGCUCUUUUUUAGGCUAAUAUAUCUGACCUUCUGACUUAACACACUCUUCUAGUCCUGAUUUUAUAUUUUCAACUCAAGCAAUCCCAGAUAGUGGUGUACAAUGUCAUUAAGCCACGCCAUAAUACUCUUAACAAGCAAUUGAUGUGGAAUCUUGAAUCUGAUGGAACCAUAUUGUAAUGCAAACUGAACAAUGUAUAUAAUGUUAAUUCUAAAAGCUGAGCUUAAUUUUUGUUCUGUUUGACCAAUAUUGCUAAUAGAGAAAAACAUUUUAAUUUCUGUGGAACUGCUCAUACACAUUUUUAAAAGUCUCGUAACUCUAUUACUUGUUCCUUGCUUUGAUUUUGUUUCUGGCUGUUGCAACAACAGUGAGGAUAAAUUUUUCCAAGUGCCCACCUGCUGGCUUCAUGGAUCACUUACAAAGUUGUCACUAGCAGAUAUCAGACUAGUCAACUGCAAAAAUGCUGUGGAUCAGAAUGAGCUAGCUGCUGCAGAAGAUCUUGGUUUGAUGACAGUCAAUGUGAAAACUGAUAGCUGCUGAAGUAUGUGAACCGGAGUUCUCUCAUUUAUGCUAGCACAAUACUCUUGCAAAGUGGUAGUCCAGUGUCCAACCACAAUGAAAUAGGAUGAAAAUCUCUCAACAAUACUUGUGGGUUUUUUGUUGUUGUUGCUUCUUUAUUUCCUUGUAAAUACUUUGCCAUUCUGAAGAAAUGGAGGCUAAGAUGAUUAAUAUUUCAAGCAGAAAAUAUUUUGUCAUCUGCCUGACUUCCCAUCCCAAACUUGUGUGGAAGGAUGGAAAGUAAAUGAAUUUGUUUGUGUGUCAAUUGAUUCACAAUACAUACUCAAAUUUGUGGAUUCUUGUAUUUCAGAACUAAGCAAAUAAACACCCUGAGGA